AUGCUGCAGACUUCGGCCGAGGUGUGGGGCGCCAUCCAUGCCACGUUCGUUGCCCAGACACGAGCCGAGUCCGUGAACACCAGAAUCGCGCUUGUUAACCUUCAGAAGGCUAACUCCAGCAUGACGGAGUACCUCGCCCAAAUCAAAGUGCUCUCUGAUGAGAUCACUCUCGCUUGUGUGCCCCUCUCCAACCACGAGAUCAUCUCCUAUGUCUGCUCAGGUCUGGACCUUGAGUACAACUUUGUGGUCUCAGCCCUUGACCGCGUCGAGCUUGUCACGCCCCUGGAGCUUUACAGCCAGCCGAUGAGCUUUGAGGCACAACUCAACCUUUCCCAAGGGACGCCCGUACAAUAG
rnacentral:rRNA from 1 species